rnacentral:lncRNA from 1 species
UUUUGCCUACAAUAGGACGCCGUCUCUUAUAUAUGAGAAGACAACAACAACGGCGACGCGCAGAUCGACAUUGCGGGCCAACGGCAUCCAUGCAAGUAAGUGAAGCGCGCGGGCACUGCGCGGGUGGUUGGGUUGGUUCGGCCUUGAGUAGAGGCACCUGAAUAGUGGGUUCUGUUGCUUGUCGGUGGGCGGGGGAAUUCUAGUUGGGUUCGCGAGGUCCGUAGGUCAGUAGGAAAGGUGGUUUUAUCUCGGCCUCCCGCAGUUGGCGAGGCUUUAGCUGGGAGUCCGUUUUGCCGGGAGUAGCUCUUGGUUGGCAAGAGGUUGCGAGGGGCUUGAUCGGCGCCCUUUGUCUUGAGUUCGCCUGAUUUACCCUGGUAUCCUCGCGAGUCGCCAGAUAGCCCGGUGCAGGAUACUUACCAACAUAACAGCUACCCUACGUGCGAAGGCGUAAAGAACAAUGAGCAAGACAGGCAUACAGGAUGGCGUCAAGAAAUCCGCAAGCAAACGAAAGUUGAAGUCAAGACGCGUGGACGGACCCGGAGCCUUCGGACGUGUGGACGGACUACAGCUACAUCAUAAAGCCGCCGCGGCGGUCNNN